rnacentral:lncRNA from 1 species
CAUGCUCCCACCUUGAUGAUGAUGGACUGAACCUCUGAACCUUACCGGAAGGGAAUCCCAUUGUGUACACAUCCCCUACUCUCCUCAUCCCCGUGUCCGGGUGCUGUUGGACACCUCAGCUACUUCCCUAGUUCGUCGACCGUUGGUAUUUCUGCAACAGAGGGAACGUGCGGAUGUCUUUGUCUAUAUUCCAGUUAUUCAAGCGAUCCUCUGAAAUGGAGCUCUGAGACGACUCCAGGUCUCUCUGUUUCCAUCCAUGGGACCCCCCACCCCGUUGGCAGUAAGAGACACCUGACACCCAGCCUCCUGCUUUGAGUUCUGCCUAGGCCAGGCGGGCAGUGCUACAAACCAGGCCACCGCUGACACCCCGGUGGCCUCACAAAAUGGAGUCUAAAGCUGAGGAACUGAUGACUGUACCAACAUCCUGUGGCAGAGAUGGAGAGCCCAAGGGAAGAAUUAUGGACAGGUCCACGCCCAUGAGAGUGUUUACCGUAGGGUUGUCUAAAUAAAGUUAUUUAUAUUUAUUU